ensembl:lncRNA
AGAGCAAAUGCCUGGUCUUCUAGUACCCCCAAGGCAGCCAACUAGAAGUCCUUCCCCUCCUCAGAAACCCUGGCCCUUAGCUUUCAUGUUGCCUUUUCUCCACUUAUCACUUUCUGGGUAGUGACCUUGUGGGGAACAAAGUCUGCAUUUUUCUGCAAGAGACCUGAGCCAGGGUCCUCACACCUGCAGCUGGAGUUGGCUGGGAGUCAGCUUUGGAGCCAAUCUCACUCACAGGAUGCCUCCCAUCUACACUGUCACUCAAUAAGGGUAAAUAUAUUGUGCACUUUCUCCCUAUUAGGCCCUGGGGUUUCUAGGCUGGCAGGAGGGGCGGACUGGCCGGCAGAGCCUCCUUUGAGAUGAUUUCUGCCAUCAGGAUGCCGGAGGCAAGAUCACCCCUGUGGAAGCCUCUUCCCUGAUGGACCAGACCUUGUCCCCAGUCCCCUCCCUAGGCUCUCAGAACACACUGUGCACCCCCUAUGUGGGCUCCAGUUAGUCCUGAAGUGCAGGACCCAGCGAGGCUUUAACUAGGUUUUUGAGAGUAGGGGGCCUGCUUCCCAGAGAAGAGGCCACAAUCUCCAAAGUAGAUGAACCCCCAGCAGGUGUGACAGCCUUCCAGGUUCAGAGGGGGGGUUCUUUUAGAUGCUCAAAGUCCCUCCCAGCCAUCAUCUCUAUUUUCACAGCAAACCUGGGAAGCAGGCAGUCCUAAACUAUAAAGUAUGCAGCACCAGUCAGGCAUAAAAUCAUCCGAAAACUUGAACAUAGAAUCCAGGCAUAAUCACCCUGCCUGAAAGGAGCCCAGUCGGAGAGAAAGACAGUCGUUUCUUAAUUCAUUCAAAAAUAGGAAUCGCACUCCUGCUCUGGGUCAGCUCCAGGUUUGGCCCUGGGGAUAUGCUGGGGCACGAGACUGGCCCCUCCCCUCUCACAGCUCUGGCAAAAUGCUGUAUGACACAGCAGAAUAAACGUUGUGCUGUUAUAAAAGCCCUAAACGCAGAGUGGGAGGCUGCUGAUGGCUGGAAAAGCACUAGGGGGUCUUGCGAUGUUAGAGUGGGCUGAGGAAUUGCUCCAGCGCUCUGGGCUGUUCCGGAACCCCGGAGGUGGAGCGGGGCGUCAAUGUGGGCUGCCGCUGAUGCCCUGUGCAGUUUCAUUUCUUAUAAACACUGCUUUGGGAGGAAAGAGGCCUCAGCUUCCCAUCCGCCCCGUGGGGCCCCGAGGAGGCGGGGAGGGGGGGGGCGCGGCUCUGGGGCCAGGCCCGGCGGCCUCGACCUGGAGUGGGACUGGAGCAGCACCCUCCUCCUCCGCGUGAAUGGGUCCCACAGCGCGGCCUCCGCCCACUGUCGUCAGCCCGGAGCGCCGAUGGCAGCUUCCUGGCCUUUAUGGGGGCAGCAGCACCCCUACUUCUGCUUGGGGGAUCCGAGUUCUGGUUUGGAGCCCCUCGCCCCCAGGACAGAAGGAAGUCUCAUUAGGGAGAUCAGAAGGAAGUGGAAUCACAUCUUUAAAGUGCUGGAGGAAAAGAACCAUCAAC